CGCCACCGCUCUGAAUCUUUUCUGCUUUUGUUUUCUGUUGUUCUUUUGUAACAGGUUGUCUGGGAACUCACAAAGAGAUCCACCUGCCUCUGCCUCUGAGAGUCUGAGAUUAAAAGCACAUGUCUCCAGACCCAACUGAUCCAUUUUCUAAGAAAGAUUAGUUUGAUGUGAAAACCCCAGCUAAUUCAAUAUUAGAAACAUUAGACUCAAGGAAUCAAAAUUGCAUGUGAUGGCCAGGAGGAUCAUUUGUUUGAAGUGAGCCUUGCUUCAGGACAGAAUAGUAAAGUUGCAUUUAGAAAGUCCAAGCUAAUUCCUGAGGAUGUUCAGGGCAAAAAAAAAAAAAAAAAAAGAAAAAACCUCUCAGACUAAUUUCUGUGGGCUAUGGCUGUUACCCUCAACAUGGUCAAAAUAUGGCAGACCAUGACUGAAGCUCAUGUUGAUGUUAAGACACCCAAUGACUGUUUGCUUUUCUGUGCUGCUUUUACUGAAGAAGAAAAAAAACAAAACAACAAAACAGUAACCAGAUACAAAAGACAUCUUAUGCCAGCACCAAUAUGUCUAUCAGAUCUGGAAGAAGAAGAUGAAAAUCAUAACUGGAAAAGUACAGACAAAUGACUAGAAAAAGCAUGGGUGAAGAAUUGAUUACAGGCCAAGCAUGAUGGUGCAUGCCUGUAAUUCCAGCACCUGGGAGGCAGAGGGGAAAGAAAUAGAAAAGGCUCUUCCUUUCCUUUCA
rnacentral:lncRNA from 1 species